UGUGCAUGCAGUCUGCACUGUAUCAAACUGCUGAAGUCUGAACAAAGGUGGACUUUCUCGCCGUAGCUUGAUCCCUGCUGCACUGGAAGAGACACCGCUAAUGGAGGAUAGUGGCGGGACCCAUCGCCACUCGGCACCCGCUGAGUCGACACAUUGCACCCAUUCAGAAAGAUUGACAUUAAAGCAAGGAUGAUGUAAACAUGAAGAAAG